UACAGAGGGUGCAAGCGUUGUUCGGAAUUAUUGGGCGUAAAGCGCGUGUAGGCGGCUUUGCAAGUCGGGUGUGAAAGCCCUCAGCUCAACUGAGGAAGUGCGCCCGAAACUGCAGAGCUUGAGUACCGGAGAGGAUGGUGGAAUUCCCCAAGUAGAGGUGAAAUUCGUAGAUAUGGGGAGGAACACCGGUGGCGAAGGCGACCAUCUGGACGGAUACUGACGCCGAGACGCGAAAGCGUGGGUAGCAAACAGG
rnacentral:rRNA from 1 species